rnacentral:rRNA from 1 species
AGAGUUUGAUCCAUGGCUCAGGAUGAACGCUGGCGGCGUGCUUAACACAUGCAAGUCGAACGAUGAUCCCAGCUUGCUGGGGGAUUAGGGGCGAACGGGUGAGUAACACGUGAGUAACCUGCCCUUAACUCUGGGAUAAGCCUGGGAAACUGGGUCUAAAACCGGAUAUGACUCCUCAUCGCAUGGUGGGGGGUGGAAAGCUUUAUUGUGGUUUUGGAUGGACUCGCGGCCUAUCAGCAGUUGGUGAGGUAAUGGCUCACCAAGGCGACGACGGGUAGCCGGCCUGAGAGGGUGACCGGCCACACUGGGACUGAGACACGGCCCAGACUCCUACGGGAGGCAGCAGCGGGGAAUAUUG